AUGGCCGGUGCUCGUCCCAAUUGCGGUUGUGGCCUGCAGGCCACCACCCCGGCUCCUCUUGCCACCGGCCAGCUGCCGUCGUCCCCGGUGUCGAUGCCUACACCCUUGACGGGGCCAGGUCAGGUGGCCGCUCCCGUGCUGUCUGGUUGGGGGGACUGGCUAGGAUGCUUCGGAAGGAAGACGACGUCCGCUGAUCCCAUGUGUUGUGCGCCAACAGCUCGUGAGGAAACAUUGGGAGACUGGCACCUCGUUACCGGCUGCCGCCGUUCGCCAUCUUCAAAUGCCUUCCGUCGGCCCGGUUCCAAUGCCCGGAUGGCUCCUCCGGCGUGGCUCCGGGAUCGAUGCUUUCGGUGUCUCUCCAAAGGUCAUCACGCUCACUCUUGCAGGGACCCAAUUCGGUGCUCAGGAUGCCUUCGUUUCGGCCACAAAGUGCGUUUUUGUCAUGCUCAGCACCGAUCCGAUCUGACUACAAAGCCGCGUGAUGAUGCUGCAAAGCCUAACCCAGCGCCUGCAUCGGAGGUUGACGCAACACCGGUUGACGUGCAAUUGCAACCCGUCCUAGCGGAGGAGACCGAGCUGCUUCGCACUGAGCUGCGCGACUGCCUUGCGCGAGUUGAGAGUGUUUUGGGGAGAGCAGAGGCUGCUCUCGCCAAACUAGAGGUUGUGCCAGCUGUGUCCUCACUUCCUAAGCUUCAGAUCGGGUCUCCUGUUGGGGAGGAAGCAAGCCUCUAUGGACAUUUCUCCCCUCGUGCUACAUCAUGUUCGCCGAUGUCUGUACUACUCACUGGCCCUGGGUGUGUAGUCAUCGAUGAGGUCAUGGCUCCAGUGCUGGAGAUUAUGCCUGAGUUGCAGGAGCGUUGUGGGGAGCCUACUUCACCUCUUUCAAUGGUGCUUCCGAAGGAGAUGGGGCAGGUGAUGUCUGUGGGUGGCGAGGUUGAUGAGGUAGGUGCGUUGGCACCUAUCUCUGGGGCGCAACUACAGGGUUUGCCUCUGCCAUGUGUGCAACUGAAGGCGCCUGAGUCCAUUGUGUCGAUGGUACCCGUGGCUGAGCAUGUUAAUGCAGUGGUGUCUGUGAGGGACAAGGUUGAUGAGAUUCUAUUUGAGAUACAAGUCAGCAGCUUGCUCGCACGUUUGGAGGCGGUCAGCCCUGGAUCUGGCAAGAUGAUUGUGGAGAAGGCUCUCAGGAGCAAAACUAAGUAG
rnacentral:rRNA from 1 species